CGGAGGGUGCAAGCGUUAUCCGGAUUCACUGGGUUUAAAGGGUGUGUAGGCGGGCUAUUAAGUCAGUGGUGAAAUCUCCGGGCUCAACCCGGAAACUGCCAUCGAUACUAUUAGUCUUGAAUAUUGUUGAGGUAGGCGGAAUAUACCAUGUAGCGGUGAAAUGCAUAGAUAUGAUAUAGAACACCGAUUGCGAAGGCAGCUUACUAAACAAUUAUUGACGCUGAGGCACGAAAGCGUGGGGAUCAAACAGGAUUAGAUACCCUGGUAGUCCACGCCCUAAACGAUGAUUACUCGACAUACGCGAUACACAGUGUGUGUCUGAGCGAAAGCAUUAAGUAAUCCACCUGGGAAGUACGUCCGCAAGGAUG
rnacentral:rRNA from 1 species